AGUUUGAUCCUGGCUCAGGAUGAACGCUGGCGGCGCGCCUAACACAUGCAAGUCGAACGGCACCCAUCUUCGGAUGGAAGCGAGUGGCGAACGGCUGAGUAACACGUGGAGAACCUGCCCCCUCCCCCGGGAUAGCCGCCCGAAAGGACGGGUAAUACCGGAUACCCCCGGGCGCCGCAUGGCGCCCGGGCUAAAGCCCCGACGGGAGGGGAUGGCUCCGCGGCCCAUCAGGUAGACGGCGGGGUGACGGCCCACCGUGCCGACAACGGGUAGCCGGGUUGAGAGACCGACCGGCCAGAUUGGGACUGAGACACGGCCCAGACUCCUACGGGAGGCAGCAGUGGGGAAUCUUGCGCAAUGGGGGGAACCCUGACGCAGCGACGCCGCGUGCGGGACGGAGGCCUUCGGGUCGUAAACCGCUUUCAGCAGGGAAGAGUCAAGACUGUACCUGCAGAAGAAGCCCCGGCUAACUACGUGCCAGCAGCCGCGGUAAUACGUAGGGGGCGAGCGUUAUCCGGAUUCAUUGGGCGUAAAGCGCGCGUAGGCGGCCCGGCAGGCCGGGGGUCGAAGCGGGGGGCUCAACCCCCCGAAGCCCCCGGAACCUCCGCGGCUUGGGUCCGGUAGGGGAGGGUGGAACACCCGGUGUAGCGGUGGAAUGCGCAGAUAUCGGGUGGAACACCGGUGGCGAAGGCGGCCCUCUGGGCCGAGACCGACGCUGAGGCGCGAAAGCUGGGGGAGCGAACAGGAUUAGAUACCCUGGUAGUCCCAGCCGUAAACGAUGGACGCUAGGUGUGGGGGGACGAUCCCCCCGUGCCGCAGCCAACGCAUUAAGCGUCCCGCCUGGGGAGUACGGCCGCAAGGCUAAAACUCAAAUGAAUUGACGGA
rnacentral:rRNA from 1 species